GACGGAGGAUGCAAGCGUUAUCCGGAAUCACUGGGCGUAAAGCGUCUGUAGGUGGUCAAAUAAGUCAACUGUUAAAUCUUGAGGCUUAACCUCAAAAUCGCAGUCGAAACUAUUAGACUAGAGUAUAGUAGGGGUAAAGGGAAUUUCCAGUGGAGCGGUGAAAUGCGUAGAGAUUGGAAAGAACACCGAUGGCGAAGGCGCUUUACUGGGCUAUUACUAACACUCAGAGACGAAAGCUAGGGUAGCAAAUGGG
rnacentral:rRNA from 1 species